rnacentral:rRNA from 1 species
GAUGAACGCUGGCGGCGUGCCUAAUACAUGCAAGUCGAACGCAUUGAGAGAAGUGCUUGCACUUUUCAAUUUGAGUGGCGAACGGGUGAGUAACACGUGGGCAACCUACCCGAUAGCGGGGGAUAACGAGUGGAAACAUUCGCUAAUACCGCAUAACAAUAGAGAAGGCAUCUUCUUUAUUUAAAAGGCGCUUUCAAGCGUCACUAUCAGAUGGGCCCGCGGUGCAUUAGUUAGUUGGUGGGGUGAAGGCCUACCAAGACGAUGAUGCAUAGCCGGGUUGAGAGACUGAGCGGCCACAUUGGGACUGAGACACGGCCCAAACUCCUACGGGAGGCUGCAGUAGGGAAUCUUCCACAAUGGACGAAAGUCUGAUGGAGCAACGCCGCGUGUGUGAUGAAGGCUUUCGGGUCGUAAAGCACUGUUGUAUGGGAAGAAAUGCUAGGCUAGGAAAUGAGCUUAGUUUGACGGUACCAUACCAGAAAGGGACGGCUAAAUACGUGCCAGCCGCCGCGGUAA